rnacentral:lncRNA from 1 species
UAGACCAUCGGUAUUAGGUUGUUGUGUCUCGUGUACGAACUCAAACCCGUCAACAAUUCCAGUUGUAUAAGGUGCAGAGCUACCCUCUCCAUGCUUUAUCCAAAUCAAGUAAUCUUUCAUAAAUCCUCGACGGACCAGAUGAGUAAGGAUUUGUUGAAUGUCAUCAGAUACAACAAGAUUUUUACAAUCCAUGCAUGGACAAUGUA